rnacentral:rRNA from 1 species
CCUACGGGUGGCAGCAGUCGAGAAUCAUUCACAAUGGGGGAAACCCUGAUGGUGCGACGCCGCGUGGGGGAAUGAAGGUCUUCGGAUUGUAAACCCCUGUCAUGUGGGAGCAAAUUAAAAAGAUCGUACCACAAGAGGAAGAGACGGCUAACUCUGUGCCAGCAGCCGCGGUAAUACAGAGGUCUCAAGCGUUGUUCGGAAUCACUGGGCGUAAAGCGUGCGUAGGCUGUUUCGUAAGUCGUGUGUGAAAGGCGCGGGCUCAACCCGCGGACGGCACAUGAUACUGCGAGACUAGAGUAAGGGAGGGGGAACCGGAAUGCUCGGUGUAGCAGUGAAAUGCGUAGAUAUCGAGAGGAACACUCGUGGCGAAGGCGGGUUCCUGGACAUUAACUGACGCUGAGGCACGAAGGCCAGGGGAGCGAAAGGGAUUAGAUACCCUGGUAGUC